rnacentral:lncRNA from 1 species
CCAACAUCCUCAUAUCACAGCACGCUCCAGGACUGGGGAAUCCCUGAGGAUGGCUCAGGGCAGCCCAGCCUCCUUUCUGAAAACAGGAUUCAGAGCUCAUAGAAGCCUCCCUGCCCUGGGAGUCUCAAGAGAGCACUUAAGCACAGACACCUGGUUUAGCUUGGUAGGCACCCCUAGCCUGCGGAGCUUACCCCCGCCGCACACAUCUGGAGAGUCAACCAUUACAAAGAGAAAUAGCAGGACUGGUCCUGCCCCUCCGGGAUGGUGCCGCCAGUCUAGAGUAAAAUGCCAAGCACGGGCUCAAGACUCCUGCUGAGGCCAAUGGAGAAGCUGAGAUAUUUUGAAAGCCACCCCUGAGGCGAGAAAGUUGUGCAGAAGGCACUAAUUGUCAACGCUCCCCAAGGACAGCCUGCCUGUUCCAAGGCAGGAGGAAAGGGCCGAGCUGUCAGCGCCCGAUUCCUGGGGGAGUCUGCCUCGCCCGCGCUCAGCCAGCCAGGCCAGCUUCCUGCCCGGCAUGGAGGAGAUAAAACACAGGAACACAGACGAUCUUACAUAACCGAAGCGGGACUGAACAUUUUCAGCAAAUUACCUCUGUUAUGAGCUCUGCCAUAAAAUCGCCUCAC